rnacentral:tRNA from 1 species
GCCGGCAUGGCGGAACUGGCAGACGCACAGGACUUAAAAUCCUGCGGGUGGCGACACUCGUACCGGUUCGAUUCCGGUUGCCGGCA